UGGGAAGGCUCACAAAAGUAAACAGAUCCGUAGGGUGUCAAAUCAUUUUGCUGCUGGCGUGGAAAAAAAAAUCGUCUUGGGUAACUAAAUCUUGGGUAUUAGCUGAUAAGAAGAGGUGUCAGAGGUGUUAUGAAACAAAUCAGAUGAAUAAUGGGCGAACUGUUAUCGCUUUCACAGACCGAAGGCGCGGCGGGCAGAGCGGCCUUCUCACCCCCUUCCCUUCACUUGUCGGGAAUUGGGGCAUUUUUCAGUCGCAUCUUCGCCCUUCUUGGGGGCGGCCUCAGAUUGCCGGCAGCUGUCUUAGAUCAGAGCUGUUUAUUCCACAGCGAAACCACUUUGGAUCGAGACGAGGGAGAGAGCGCAGAGCGGGGGCACCCUCCCGAGCCUUUGAAGCGCCUCUGGUCGUUCGUUCUCUUCUGCUCGGCAAAGUCCAAGCCCUCCACUCUCGUCACAAGGCAGAGCCCCGAGAUAAGAGAAGCGUCCUGCACACGAGCACGGUCACACGUCCGAAGUAACAGCGGACCUCCUCUCGCGUUUCCGAAGCUCGGGUGCUCGACGCCGCUAUCCGCCCCAUCCAAAGCGGUUUCUUUCCCCCUUCCCCGCUCCGCUUUUAGAAGAUAUUUCUUUAUUUGGUCAAGGAAUCCUAUCAGCGUCAGGAGAAAAGUUGUGGUUCUAAUUCUCUUAACGUAAGGAGGGGAGAGGGGAAAGAAGCUUAUCUCCCCGCUUUUUAUUUUAUUACUACUAUUGUUGUUGUUUUCAUUGGACACCGACUCGAGCACAUCGUAGCGAAUUUAGAUGCACUUGCAGGACGGGUUGUAGAGUCCACCUUCGGCAUAGGAAGGCCCUUGCGAAGCGCAGGGUGCCGAGAUGAUACAUGCAGCUCCGGAGGCUGUGGGAACCCGAAUCGGAAGCCAGCUUGCUUUUGCUUCGCUUCCCACCGCCAUCCGCUUUCCAAUCCGCGUAAAAGGCUUUUGGUUUUGUCUUAAAAGGCAUCUGAGAACCAACCGUUCGGAAUAAGCAAGGAGUGUGUGAAGGGGGAAUCACCCAAACCUGUAGGAAGCUGGAAUUGGCCCUCUGCGCUUCGACAGCGAAUAGCAGCCACCAAGUACCAUCCCCUUCAGAUCUGCCCUGCAGCAGCUCUUCCUGCUGCCAACUUGCAGUAAAAUUUAUUGCCCUGUUUCAUCAGAUGACAAGAAACAAUGCCAGCAAUUUCUCCAGUGCUAUCUAUAUGUGAUCAAACAGCAUCAAACUUAUCCACACACUGAACAAAGAGGGAAAGUCACUUCUGGGGUGACAGUCAUCUCAUCCUGAAGCAAAUGUAUAAACUAGGUCAGAUAAAACUUUACUUGCAAUAAAAGGAUCUGGAAGGAGACUGGCUGAGGCAUCAAUUUCGACACUGAAGAGGUCUACGUAUGGACUGGAAAGAAGUGUACAAGCAGCCACUCCUGAAACACAUCAGAAACUCUGCUUUCAGCUUCUCUUCUGGCAAUGCUGGAACUUCCAGAAGAGUCAUUGAUGCCUGCCUAAUUCUGCUGAAGCAAUCAGGAGAAGAUUCAGAUUGGAUUUACUACCAGCAGUGGAAGGGGAGAACUAGAAACAGAAGAAAUAUGGGUGAAAUGGAUUUUCUGCGUGUAAUAUGAAGUUGCUGCCUCUAUUUUUAAAGAAGCACUAUUUGCGCUUAUAAAAUCACAGAACUGCAGGGGCUGGAACGGACUUCUAGAGAUCAUUGAGACCAACACCCUGCUAAAAGUAUCCAGGAUGAUUCUGGAUUUUGAAUAACUCCAGAGAAAGACAGCCCACAAGUGUUCCAUCCCCUGGAUCAUUUUUCUGGCCCUUCUUUGGGCAUGCUCCAACAGGUGAAAGCAUUUGAAGAAAGAGUGUAAGAAGGGAGGAAAAAAAGAAGUCUUAAAACCUGAAUGUGAAUAAUAACUCAUAGUAAUGAAGUAAUUGAAGAAGUACUAACUACCCAGCUCCAAAGUGGAUGCAUGCAAUCUACAUUGCCACAGUUCACACAAAGCAGAACAUGGAGACAGCAACAGUGACACUAAAAGAUGUCUCCUCAUCGCCAUGGCCAAAGGAAAGCUUUCCAUGCUCAGUGAGCUGGACCUCUUCUGUCUUUUCACAGUGAGUCUUCAGAUUUCUCUGUUACCCAAAAAGAGAAAACUCCAUCUGCUUCUUUCUGAUUCCUCAGAGUGUGAAUCUUUCUCUCUAUCUUUUUAGACCUCAGAGGAGAGAAAGUGAGAUGUCAGAAGAGGUGAGAUGCCCAGAGGUGUCUCCUCUCCUCUAUUAUGUCUCCUGUAUUUGGGAUUAGAACCAAACUUGUCUCAAAUAAAAUGAGUACUGAAAUUUCUUUCAAAUUCAGACUCAAAAUUUUUGUGUUUCUUUUUUUCUUCUUCUUUUUUAAUAUUGUUUUUUUUCUUACCAUUCUUCUUCCUAUUCAUUUUCUUCCUCUUCUUCAUCUUCC
ensembl:lncRNA